GAUGAACGCUGGCGGCGUGCCUAAUACAUGCAAGUCGAGCGAACGGACGAGAAUCUUGCUUCUCUGAUGUUAGCGGCGGACGGGUGAGUAACACGUGGAUAACCUACCUAUAAGACUGGGAUAACUUCGGGAAACCGGAUCUAAUACCGGAUAAUAUUUUGAACCGCAUGGUUCAAAAGUGAAAGACGGUCUUGCUGUCACUUAUAGAUGGAUCCGCGCUGCAUUAGCUAGUUGGUAAGGUAACGGCUUACCAAGGCAACGAUGCAUAGCCGACCUGAGAGGGUGAUCGGCCACACUGGAACUGAGACACGGUCCAGACUCCUACGGGAGGCAGCAGUAGGGAAUCUUCCGCAAUGGGCGAAAGCCUGACGGAGCAACGCCGCGUGAGUGAUGAAGGUCUUCGGAUCGUAAAACUCUGUUAUUAGGGAAGAACAUAUGUGUAAGUAACUGUGCACAUCUUGACGGUACCUAAUCAGAAAGCAACGGCUAACUACGUG
rnacentral:rRNA from 1 species